rnacentral:miRNA from 1 species
AGCCUCCUCAUCGACUGGAAGGAAUCCCUUCCAAUCGAUGAGGAAGCUGUACCUCAUCGACAGGAAGGAAUCCCUUCCAGUCGAUGAGGUUGGGGGUU